UACGUAGGGGGCAAGCGUUGUCCGGAAUCAUUGGGCGUAAAGCGCGUGUAGGCGGUUCGGUAAGUCCGCUGUGAAAGUCGGGGGCUCAACCCUGGAAUGCGGGUGGAUACUGCCGGGCUAGAGUCCGGAAGAGGCGAGUGGAAUUCCUGGUGUAGCGGUGGAAUGCGCAGAUAUCAGGAGGAACACCAAUAGCGAAGGCAGCUCGCUGGGACGGUACUGACGCUAAGGCGCGAAAGCGUGGGGAGCAAACAGG
rnacentral:rRNA from 1 species